UUUGUUUCUCCCCCAUCUUUUUCUUCAAACUGCUAUUGUUGAGAGAGGAAUCACCAUCUGGGCUGCUUGGAGAUUCCCGCUUCCUUUUCCUUUGGAAUGUGUACUUGAGAAACUUAUUAUUCAUUGAUUGAGUAGGAACAGCUUCAGUCACAUCUGGCUCUUUUGAAUUUGAGCUUGACAGCAACACGCUGGCAAUCUCAAAAUCAGUUUUGGUAGGUGGAAACUCUAGAUUCUCUGCAGAUCCAGUGUCUUGUCCAGUCAACUCCAAUUGAUCUAUUGACAACUUAUUGCUGUUUGUUGUCUGGAAUGAACAAGUCCUGUCAAACUCUGAUUCACUUUUGGUAACUUCUACAGAUCCUGAGUGCGUGAUCAUUUCAUUUGUACUUGAAGGUGAUUUUGGGGCAACAAGGGGCACAGGAUCCUUCUGAGAUAUAUUAUCAAUUGUCCUAGAAUCUUCCCUGGUUUCAACAUUGUCAUCCACAGCCCGAUGAGGAAAAAUCUUAUAUUCUCUACGUUUCCUAUAUCUUUUUCUUCUUAGUCUUCUAGGAAUACCACCUCCAUCAUCCUUGGCUAUAUCUGGACUUUUCUCUAUAUCACAACCAUUAUCAGCCAUGGCAGUUAGGUUCUUACAUAAAUGUUUAUCUUCUUCCCUG
rnacentral:misc_RNA from 1 species